GGAAUUGUGGUUCAGUGGAAGAGCACUUGCCUAGUAUGUAUGAGGCACUGUGUUCAAUUCUCAGCACCA
rnacentral:tRNA from 1 species